CGCUUGCAUCUUGAUUUAAUUUUGAACGAGUGGCGGACGGGUGAGUAACACGUGGGUAACCUGCCCUUAAGUGGGGGAUAACAUUUGGAAACAGAUGCUAAUACCGCAUAAAUCCAAGAACCGCAUGGUUCUUGGCUGAAAGAUGGCGUAAGCUAUCGCUUUUGGAUGGACCCGCGGCGUAUUAGCUAGUUGGUGAGGUAACGGCUCACCAAGGCAAUGAUACGUAGCCGAACUGAGAGGUUGAUCGGCCACAUUGGGACUGAGACACGGCCCAAACUCCUACGGGAGGCAGCAGUAGGGAAUCUUCCACAAUGGACGCAAGUCUGAUGGAGCAACGCCGCGUGAGUGAAGAAGGCUUUCGGGUCGUAAAACUCUGUUGUUGGAGAAGAAUGGUCGGCAGAGUAACUGUUGUCGGCGUGACGGUAUCCAACCAGAAAGCCACGGCUAACUACGUGCCAGCAGCCGCGGUAAUACGUAGGUGGCAAGCGUUAUCCGGAUUUAUUGGGCGUAAAGCGAGCGCAGGCGGUUUUUUAAGUCUGAUGUGAAAGCCCUCGGCUUAACCGAGGAAGUGCAUCGGAAACUGGGAAACUUGAGUGCAGAAGAGGACAGUGGAACUCCAUGUGUAGCGGUGAAAUGCGUAGAUAUAUGGAAGAACACCAGUGGCGAAGGCGGCUGUCUGGUCUGUAACUGACGCUGAGGCUCGAAAGCAUGGGUAGCGAACAGGAUUAGAUACCCUGGUAGUCCAUGCCGUAAACGAUGAAUGCUAGGUGUUGGAGGGUUUCCGCCCUUCAGUGCCGCAGCUAACGCAUUAAGCAUUCCGCCUGGGGAGUACGACCGCAAGGUUGAAACUCAAAGGAAUUGACGGGGGCCCGCACAAGCGGUGGAGCAUGUGGUUUAAUUCGAAGCAACGCGAAGAACCUUACCAGGUCUUGACAUCUUUUGAUCACCUGAGAGAUCAGGUUUCCCCUUCGGGGGCAAAAUGACAGGUGGUGCAUGGUUGUCGUCAGCUCGUGUCGUGAGAUGUUGGGUUAAGUCCCGCAACGAGCGCAACCCUUAUGACUAGUUGCCAGCAUUUAGUUGGGCACUCUAGUAAGACUGCCGGUGACAAACCGGAGGAAGGUGGGGAUGACGUCAAAUCAUCAUGCCCCUUAUGACCUGGGCUACACACGUGCUACAAUGGAUGGUACAACGAGUUGCGAGACCGCGAGGUCAAGCUAAUCUCUUAAAGCCAUUCUCAGUUCGGACUGUAGGCUGCAACUCGCCUACACGAAGUCGGAAUCGCUAGUAAUCGCGGAUCAGCACGCCGCGGUGAAUACGUUCCCGGGCCUUGUACACAC
rnacentral:rRNA from 2 species